GUAACCUGCCCAUAAGACUGGGAUAACUCCGGGAAACCGGGGCUAAUACCGGAUAACAUUUUGAACCGCAUGGUUCGAAAUUGAAAGGCGGCUUCGGCUGUCACUUAUGGAUGGACCCGCGUCGCAUUAGCUAGUUGGUGAGGUAACGGCUCACCAAGGCAACGAUGCGUAGCCGACCUGAGAGGGUGAUCGGCCACACUGGGACUGAGACACGGCCCAGACUCCUACGGGAGGCAGCAGUAGGGAAUCUUCCGCAAUGGACGAAAGUCUGACGGAGCAACGCCGCGUGAGUGAUGAAGGCUUUCGGGUCGUAAAACUCUGUUGUUAGGGAAGAACAAGUGCUAGUUGAAUAAGCUGGCACCUUGACGGUACCUAACCAGAAAGCCACGGCUAACUACGUGCCAGCAGCCGCGGUAAUACGUAGGUGGCAAGCGUUAUCCGGAAUUAUUGGGCGUAAAGCGCGCGCAGGUGGUUUCUUAAGUCUGAUGUGAAAGCCCACGGCUCAACCGUGGAGGGUCAUUGGAAACUGGGAGACUUGAGUGCAGAAGAGGAAAGUGGAAUUCCAUGUGUAGCGGUGAAAUGCGUAGAGAUAUGGAGGAACACCAGUGGCGAAGGCGACUUU
rnacentral:rRNA from 1 species